rnacentral:rRNA from 1 species
ACACAUGCAAGUCGAGGGGCAGCAUGGUCUUAGCUUGCUAAGGCCGAUGGCGACCGGCGCACGGGUGAGUAACGCGUAUCCAACCUGCCUUACACUCUUGGACAGCCUUCUGAAAGGGAGAUUAAUACAAGAUGUUAUCAUGAGUAAGCAUUUUCACAUGAUUAAAGGUUUACCGGUGUAAGAUGGGGAUGCGUUCCAUUAGAUAGUAGGCGGGGUAACGGCCCACCUAGUCUUCGAUGGAUAGGGGUUCUGAGAGGAAGGUCCCCCACAUUGGAACUGAGACACGGUCCAAACUCCUACGGGAGGCAGCAGUGAGGAAUAUUGGUCAAUGGACGAGAGUCUGAACCAGCCAAGUAGCGUGAAGGAUGAAGGUUCUAUGGAUUGUAAACUUCUUUUAUACGGGAAUAAACGGAUCCACGUGUGGAUUUUUGCAUGUACCGUAUGAAUAAGGAUCGGCUAACUCCGUGCCAGCAGCCGCGGCAAUACGGAGGAUCCGAGCGUUAUCCGGAUUUAUUGGGUUUAAAGGGAGCGUAGAUGGGUUGUUAAGUCAGUUGUGAAAGUUUGCGGCUCAACCGUAAAAUUGCAAUUGAUACUGGCAGUCUUGAGUACAGUUGAGGUAGGCGGAAUUCGUGGUGUAGCGGUGAAAUGCUUGGAUAUCACGAAGAACUCCGAUUGCGAAGGCAGCUUAUUAACCUGUAACUGACAUUGAUGCUCGAAAGUGUGGGUAUCAAACAGGAUUAGAUACCCUGGUAGUCCACACGGUAAACGAUGAAUACUCGCUGUAGGCGAUAUACGGUCUGCGGCCAAGCGAAAGCAUUAAGUAUUCCACCUGGGG